rnacentral:rRNA from 1 species
UGGGGAAUAUUGCACAAUGGGCGCAAGCCUGAUGCAGCCAUGCCGCGUGUAUGAAGAAGGCCUUCGGGUUGUAAAGUACUUUCAGUCGGGAGGAAGGUGGUAAGGUUAAUAACCUUAUCAAUUGACGUUACCGACAGAAGAAGCACCGGCUAACUCCGUGCCAGCAGCCGCGGUAAUACGGAGGGUGCAAGCGUUAAUCGGAAUUACUGGGCGUAAAGCGCACGCAGGCGGUUUGUUAAGUCAGAUGUGAAAUCCCCGGGCUCAACCUGGGAACUGCAUCUGAUACUGGCAAGCUUGAGUCCCGUAGAGGGGGGUAGAAUUCCAGGUGUAGCGGUGAAAUGCGUAGAGAUCUGGAGGAAUACCGGUGGCGAAGGCGGCCCCCUGGACGAAGACUGACGCUCAGGUGCGAAAGCGUGGGGAGCAAACAGG